AUUGAACGCUGGCGGCAGGCCUAACACAUGCAAGUCGAGCGGAGCGGCGGACGGGUGAGUAAUGCCUAGGAAUCUGCCUGGUAGUGGGGGAUAACGUCCGGAAACGGGCGCUAAUACCGCAUACUAUCAGAUGAGCCUCGGUCGGAUUAGCUAGUUGGGGGGGUAAAGGCCUACCAAGGCGAAGAUCCGUAACUGGUCUGAGAGGAUGAUCAGUCAAACGGGUACUGCGACACGGUCCAGUAUCCUACGGGAGGCAGCAUUGGGUAAUAGUGGACAAUGGGCGAAAGCCUGCUCCAGCCAUGCCGCGUGUGUGAUGAAGUUCUUCGGAUUUUAAAGCACUUUAAGUUGGGAGGCGUUACCAACAGAAUAAGCACCGGCUAACUUCGUGCCAGCAGCCGCGGUAAUAC
rnacentral:rRNA from 1 species